rnacentral:rRNA from 1 species
CAAGGCGGAGGAGCAUGUGGUUUAAUUCGAUGAUACGCGAGGAACCUUACCUGGGCUCGAACGUAAGAUGACUGUAGGUGAAAGCUUACAUCUCUUCGGAGCAUUUUACGAGGUGCUGCAUGGUUGUCGUCAGCUCGUGCCGUGAGGUGUCGGGUUAAGUCCCAUAACGAGCGCAACCCCUACCUUUAGUUGCCAUCAGGUAAUGCUGGGGACUCUAAAGGAACUGCCUACGCAAGUAGUGAGGAAGGCGGGGAUGACGUCAAAUCAGCACGGCCCUUACGUCCAGGGCUACACACGUGCUACAAUGGCCGAUACAGAGGGCAGCUACCUGGUGACAGGAUGCAAAUCUCCAAAGUCGGUCUCAGUUCGGAUCGGAGUCUGCAACCCGACUCCGUGAAGUUGGAUUCGCUAGUAAUCGCGCAUCAGCCAUGGCGCGGUGAAUACGUUCCCGGGCCUU